rnacentral:lncRNA from 1 species
GGGGGGGGGGGGGGGGGGGGGGGGGGGGUCCCGGAGAGCAUCCCUGGGUGCGGGCAGCGGACACCCCCAAAAAAUCCAGCAUCUGUUCCUGGCCGCUCGGGACGCCGCUGCGCGGUGCCCCCCGCCCGAGCUGUCCGACCGUGCUCUUUACCUCCUGUCAGUCAGGGUGAACUUGCUCGCCUUGUUUGUGCUUCGGCGGGUCGGUUUUGACUUACCCCUGUGGUAUGUGGAAGCGCCGACUCCAAUAAACCCUUAACUCUUUCCCGUGCUGGCAUCAGGCUAGGCUUUGCCCGGUCCGGCUCCGCGCCCAUUUAAGGAAAAGCCGGCCCCGGGCUUGCCCGGUGCGAUGCACGCGUGGAGCCGCAGCCCCUCCGGGAGCGGCACCGACCCCGCGGCUGGGACAUGGCGCGGGGGCGCGGGGGCAGUGAUGUCCGCCCGCCUCAGGGCCGCCGUUGUCCCGCCGCCCGCUGCCGUCUCGUCCCGGUUCCUCUCCGCGGAGCCCGCUCCAUCCUCCGGCCCGUCUCGGUCCCCUGCUCCAGCCGCUCUCCAGCCGCUGGGCUUCGCACCUUCCCUGCCGCCGCGCCGCACCUGAGCCCGCCACCACCUCCCGCAGCUGCUUCGCUGGCGGGAUGUUCGGAGAGAAUCCGAGCGCCGGUUUUCCACCGGAGGGUGAUUCCCGGCGCUUUCCCCGACGAUGCCGUUUUGAUCGUCGUCCCUUCGCACCGUGCCAGCGGGAUUGCGCCCGGAUUAAGUCAACUCAGGGGAAGGGAAGAGCAUGGUUCAUACGUUCCCGGCCGCAGCCAUGGGCAGGGUCCCCACAGAGUCGCGCAUAGGUAAACUGGUCUUGAAAAGAAGCAAAAAUUCCAGCAGAGAAGAUGCCUCAACUCAUGGACAGUCUUCCAAAAAUGUCACCAUUUGCAAACUCAUUACGUCACCUGCGCCUGUUUCUGAUUACGUUCAGUCCACCAAAUAGUGAAAACGCGACGCUGGCAGUUACAGGGGGUCUGCCUUUCCCUGGUAAUCUGCUUUCGAGACAGUUCCGAGUGAUGAAAACUCUUAUCAGUUCCGCUUGGAGCAAGGUUGGACCCGUGUUAGGAACGACCGGAGGGUCCCAGGUCUCCCCUGCUUCGAGGCUGCUCUCCCCGUGGCGAUUUCCGCGGCCGCGCAGCGGAGCGGCUGCCUGCACAGCCCUCGCACACACACACACAACGCAGAGACACAGACACUCUCUCGGAGAGCCUUCAAAUCCCCAAACACGAAAAGGGAAGGCUUUAUCGGAGUUUAGUUACUUAUCUGGAUUUUUGUUAAACCGCUGCUGUGAUCUUCGCGUAGUUGUGCGAGUGUGUUAA